rnacentral:tRNA from 1 species
GUCAAGAUGGCCGAGUUGGUUUAAGGCGCCAGUUUCAGGUACUGGUUUGAAAGGGCAUGAGUUCAAAUUCCAUUCUUGACA